CUCCGGUUGAUCCCGCCGGACCUGACUGCUAUCGGAUUGGUACUAAGCCAUGCGAGUCGUUGUAGCAAUACAAGGCGGACGGCUCAGUAACACGUAGUCAACCUAACCUAUGGACGUGGAUAACCUCGGGAAACUGAGAAUAAACCGCGAUAGAUCAUUAUGCCUGGAAUGGCUUAUGGUUCAAACAAUUUAUUGCCGUAGGAUGGGACUGCGGCCUAUCAGCUUGUUGGUGAGGUAAUGGCCCACCAAGGCUAUAACAGGUACGGGCUCUGAGAGGAGAAGCCCGGGGAUGGGUACUGAGACACGGACCCAGGCCCUAUGGGGCGCAGCAGGCGAGAAACCUUAGCAAUGUGCGAAAGCACGACUAGGUUAAUCCGAGUGACUUCUGUUGAAGAAAUCUUUUGUCAGUCGUAAAACCACAGACGAAUAAGGGGUGGGCAAGUCUGGUGUCAGCCGCCGCGGUAAUACCAGCACCUCGAGUGGUCAGGAGGUUUAUUGGGCCUAAAGCAUCCGUAGCCGGCUACGCAAGUCUCCGGUUAAAUCCAGCUGCUCAACAGAUGGGCUGCCGGAGAUACUACAUAGCUAGGGAGCGGGAGAGGUAGACGGUAUUCUGUGGGUAGGGGUAAAAUCCACUGAUCCAUAGAGGACCACCAGUGGCGAAGGCGGUCUACCAGAACGCGUUCGACGGUGAGGGAUGAAAGCUGGGGGAGCAAACCGGAUUAGAUACCCGGGUAGUCCCAGCUGUAAACGAUGCAAACUCGGUGAUGCAUUGGCUUAUGGCCAAUGCAGUGCCGCAGGGAAGCCGUUAAGUUUGCCGCCUGGGAAGUACGGACGCAAGUCUGAAACUUAAAGGAAUUGGCGGGGGAGCA
rnacentral:rRNA from 1 species